AUUGAACGCUGGCGGCAGGCCUAACACAUGCAAGUCGAACGAGUGGCGGACGGGUGAGUAAUGUCUGGGAAACUGCCCGAUGGAGGGGGAUAACUACUGGAAACGGUAGCUAAUACCGCAUACCAUCGGAUGUGCCCAGAUGGGAUUAGCUAGUAGGUGGGGUAAAGGCUCACCAAGGCGACGAUCCCUAGCUGGUCUGAGAGGAUGACCAGCCACACUGUGACUGAGACACGGUCCAGACUCCUACGGGAGGCAGCAGUGGGGAAUAUUGCACAAUUGGCGCAAGCCUGAUGCAGCCAUGCCGCGUGUAUGAAGAAGGCCUUCGGGUUGUAAAGUACUUUCAGCAGGGAGGCGUUACCCGCAGAAGAAGCACCGGCUAACUCCGUGCCAGCAGCCGCGGUAAUAG
rnacentral:rRNA from 1 species